rnacentral:lncRNA from 1 species
ACCAGAGCUCCACGGAUUGCCAUUUUGCGUAGUAGUUUGCCCGUCCUGGAUGCGCAGCGGUGCGUGGAGCUCUGGAUUGCUGGGAAUCUGUGAAAAUAACAAGCCCAUGGUUGGUUCAACUCCAUGGCUGGCGAUCAUCGAAAUCUUCUGCAACGGUUGUUUAUGUACGCUAGGCGACUGAAGACAGUAUUUUUGGUUGGUGUAUAAAUUUCUUCCUUGUUAGUAUUCAUGUUCUCUGUUCUUCCGCUUCCCAAUCGUUCUGGCUGAAUAAAAUUGAUAUUCGUAAGCUUUCCAAAACCAUCUUCAGCUUUGAAAUCUCGAGAUAUGUUUAUUAAAUGCGAGAUAACUCCGUACUCAGAUAGCCAUCAACCUGCAGGGCAGAAGCUAAUCUCAGAUGAAUGGGUUUGGGCAACGAUGAAGAGGACUGUGGCCGCAAUGGUAAGUCAGCAUCAACAUCUGUUGGGUUCGUCUUCCGAAAAUAUAAUAGAUUACUGGAAAGCAUGAAAAAAUUGGGCUCAGCCAAAACAUAGCAUGAUUAUACAGUUCAAUGCAUAUGAUUUUCUAUGAUUUAUUUUUUCAUACCCUUAUGAUUGAGUUGCAUUUAAGUCUUUGUCCUCCAGAAAUGAUUUGGAGUGGAUCUUGGGUCCUCAAGUGCUGAUAGUUGUGGCUCCCCAUUCCCCCUAAAAAUCAGAAUUUUAUGAUUUUAUUGGUUCUCUGAAUGAUCUGCAAGCCAGUCAAGCCGAAGAACAUUUUCUUACGCUUGCACGUUGCCUGACGUAUAAAAUUCCCCAAUCAGCAAGCAUGGGAGUAGUUAAAAUAAUGGCUACUCAGGAAAUAUAAAAAGGCCCUACUUUUUAUAAAGGGGAAAAAAACCCGAUGCUUCCAGGAUUACUGGCGUGUUAUGGAAGAAAAUGGUUUAAUUCCUAAUGAUCAUCAGAGACUGUUAAGGC